rnacentral:RNase_P_RNA from 1 species
CCAGACGGCCGGGCGGCCGCGGCCCUGAGCGAUCAGGGUCGAGGAAAGUCCGGGCUCCACGGCGACAAGGCGGCGGGCAACACCCGCCGGGAGCGAUCCCAGGGAUAGCGCCACAGAAAGUAAACCGCCUCCGGACUUCGGUCCGAAGGUAAGGGUGAAAGGGUGCGGUAAGAGCGCACCGCGGACCUGGUGACAGGGACGGCAUGGCAAGCCCCGCCUGGAGCAAGACCAAAUAGGGACAGCGCGCCUGAGGCUUCGCGCUAAGGGUAGGGCCGUCGCCGGCCUGAGUUGUCCGGGUAGGUCGCGAGAACCACGCCGCAAGGCGCGGUCCAGAGGAAUGGUCGCCACGUCCGGGGUACACCCCGGGCGGACAGAACCCGGCUUACAGGCCGUCUGGCCCA